rnacentral:rRNA from 1 species
CCGUAAGGUGGAGCUAAUCCCUUAAAGCUACUCUCAGUUCGGAUUGUAGGCUGAAACUCGCCUACAUGAAGCUGGAGUUACUAGUAAUCGCAGAUCAGAAUGCUGCGGUGAAUGCGUUCCCGGGUCUUGUACACACCGCCCGUCACACCACGGGAGUUGGAGACGCCCGAAGCCGAUUAUCUAACCUUUUGGAAGAAGUCGUCGAAGGUGGAAUCAAUAACUGGGGUGAAGUCGUAACAAGGUAGCCGUAUCGGAAGGUGCGGCUGGAUCACCUCCUUU